rnacentral:rRNA from 1 species
UACGGAGGGGACUAGCGUUGUUCGGAAUUACUGGGCGUAAAGCGCACGUAGGCGGAUUUGUAAGUCAGGGGUGAAAUCCCGGGGCUCAACCUCGGAACUGCCUUUGAUACUGCAAAUCUCGAGUCCGGAAGAGGUGAGUGGAAUUCCUAGUGUAGAGGUGAAAUUCGUAGAUAUUAGGAAGAACACCCGUGGCGAAGGCGGCUCUCUGGGACGGUACUGACGCUGAGACGCGAAAAGCGUGGGGAGCGAACAGG